rnacentral:rRNA from 1 species
CGCGUAGGUGGUAGUGUAAGUCUGAGGUGGAAUCCCAGGGCUUAACCCUGGAACUGCCUUGGAAACUGCAUUACUUGAGUCAGUGAGGGGAGGGUAGAAUUCCUGGCGUAGCGGUGAAAUGCGUAGAUAUCAGGAGGAAGGCCUGUGGCGAAGGCGGCCCUCUGGUGCUGGACUGACACUGAGGCGCGAAAGCGUGGGGAGCAAACAGGAUUAGAUACCCUGGUAGUCCACGCCCUAAACGGUGGCACUAGGUGUAGGGCUCGUAAGGGUUCUGUGCCGAAGGGAAACCAUUAAGUGCCCCGCCUGGGGAGUACGGCCGCAAGGUUGAA